CCCUCAUGAAACCAGAUCCUAGUUUGUGUUCGCUGGAAGCGGUGAAUGACGCAUUGUUGAACAGUGAAGAUGAUGACGACGUUAUUACUGUCGAUUUGGGAUCGCCGGAAGGAGAAGGUGGAUGAAAAGACAAGUUCCAAUGUAUUUGACAACCAAUCUCUAUGAAGCACAACUUCGUUUUGCUUUUUUGGUGAAAGUGGUAAGAAAGCGUACCAUGAGGGCAUGCCUGUCCAGGAGAGUGCUGUCCGACUGGUGAAAAUUGUAGCUGCUUUGAUCUAUUGUGACGAACUUGAAAGUCAAGCUCAUUCGGAAGACUAUAGUGUGUGUAUACAAUCCGUCUAGCAUAUUUUUCGGAUGGGAAACAAUCUUGGCUCCCUGGGCACAAUGGUCACACAACCAGAAUUGAUUGAAUAACAAAAUGCCUGGCUGUAUAUAUCGCCUUUGCAAACCAUUGCAAAGCUAUCUCAAUCAGGUCCCGGUCCAUUCCAUUUGAGAGCGGAGUGGGUGGAGGUAUAGCUGGCGUUUUCUUUGGUGGUAGAGCUGUCCAGAACUCAAUCUGUCCAGCCAUCAACCUGCGACUGGGUAUGUUUGUCUAGCAGAUCCAAAUGCCUGUCCAAGCGGAAUAUUCAAAUCAUCAGCUCCUCAAUAAAUCAUUAGCAUAACUACAUGUCACGCAGAAUAAUUUACAACGAGCUGAUUGCUCUUCCAAUAAUCAAAUGUCAUUGAUUCCAAUAAUAAAGCAACAAAUGGAUUACAGAUGGAUUACAGAAACAAUCACCUACAAAAAGUAAUCUUGUACAAACAUUCUGGAAACAUCAACCACCUGGCAAAUAGCUUCCAUCGUGAACUGAAUGAUCUAACUGUCUCGAUCGGGUAUCCUCGUCCCGCGGUUCAUCGUCGUGAAUAACAUGACCAGCGAUGGCUCGACACUCCGACCAGCAGAGACCUUUGUCACCCACUGGCUCGUUGUCGGAGCGGAGAACUUGUCCAGGUUUCAGGACUCACAAUUCUCCACCAGCGAUGGCUCGACGCUCCAGAAUGUUUGAUCAAUUUUACUUUUUGUGGUUUCUGCAAUCCACCAAUUGGUUGCUUUAUUAACGGAAUCAUCGACAUUUUAUUACAUAUUGGAAGAACAAUCAGCUCAUUGUAAAAUAAUCUGCGUAACUUUUAGUUGCUAAAAUUCGGAAACGGAGAACUAAGUGAAAAGCAAAUGAAGUCAAACUAAAUACGCACCUCAAUGUUAUUCAGCAUCUGAUUGAACAAGAAAAGGAUCUGUGGUGCUAAUAAUUGAAUGAGUAUUUUAUGAUUCAAAUAUCCCGCUUGGACAUGCAUUUGGAUCUACUGGACAAACAUACGCAGCAGCAGGGUUGAUGACUGUGCAGAUGGAGUUCUGGGCCACCACCAUCAAAAACGCCAGCUAUACCUCCACCCACUCCGCUCUCAAAUUGAAUGGACCGGGACCUGAUUGAGAUAGCUUUGCAAUGGUUUAUUAAGAGAAUUUAUCCAGCCAGGUAUGUUGUUGUUUAAUCCAUUCUGGUUCUGUGUAAAAGCAAUUUAGAAUUAAUGUUUGCAUAUUGUAAAGAUUUUAUUCAUUAUUUUAUUGAUGUAGUUUAUUUUGACUUUGAAUUCAAGACUUGAGUUAUUUUAUAAGAGGUUGAAUUAACUGCGAAACACCGAAGAUGGCCAUGCUUUUCAUGUCGAAAUAAGAAUCUGAAAAGUUAUAAUCAAAUGGUGGAAUUGAAUGGAAUAUGAGUCGUGUUUUGCUUUUGUGAAUCCUUUUUUAAUAGAACUAUUUUUAUCCUAAAAUAGUUGGACACACUGAAGUCUCGCUUAACUUUUCAAAAGACCCUAAAAGAACCUAAAUUUUUUCCAUGAAUUAAUUUGAGUACUUCAAUCAAAAGCUUUAAUCACAGACAAACAGACAUAACACAUUGAACAUCCACUCAUCAAAUUCAUCGUCGUUUAAACACUAACGACAUCUGUUGAUUUCAGUUAGUUGGGCAAAUCACGAACCAGAUGGCGGUAGUGAGCAAACGUCAAACUAGAGCAAAACCGAUAUGCGCGCCACGAGUGAUCGAUUGGCCAACUAAUAAUUAUUUGAAUCGACCAGUAAAUCAGUGAACGAUGGAAAUUCGACGAGUGUUAUGUCUGUUUGUCUGUGCUUUAAUGUUGGUCUGUUGAUUGCAAUAUUCAAAUUAUGUAAUUCAUGAAAAAAUGUUGCUUAGGUACUUUUGAAAAAUUAAGCGAGAAGUCUUCUUCACCUUCAAUAACUUCAUACCAACUGGAACAUGACCAGCUUUCCAAAUUAGUGUUCUAUAAGCUUUUCCACAGUAAUUAAAUGAAAGCUUUUUUAUUGCCGCCAACUGCUUGAAUGCCAUGCAUCUUGUGCCCAGAUAGCCGAGAAUGUUUCCCAUCUGAAAAUAUGCUAGAGGGAAUUGUACACACUACAGUAAAUCAUUUAAAAUGUAUAUCACACACAAUAGUCACAAUAGAGCAAAGCAGCUAAGACAGUCGUACAGCAUUCUCCAGGACAGGAAUUCUCUCACUCAUGGCGCGCUUUCUUAUCAUUAUCACCAAGAAAUUCGAUGGGCGUUUCCUAACUCUUCGAAUCGAAACAUUCAAUCGACAGGAGAAGUGUGCAUAAUUGGCACGAAACUUUUUCUCACGUCCGUGGAAGUGGGCUCAUCAUGGAAGUCAUCAUCCUCAUUGUUCUACAAUACGUCAUUUGCCGCUUCCAGCGAGCGCAUAGUCGACUCUUGUUCCAUGAGGGCGAAAUUCCAGCAUCCACUUCUCCAGCGACCUUUCUUUUGCCGUUGCCUUAGUUGAGUUUCGAAACUGCAUCAACGAUAUGCUUACUUUACUUCUUCCGGGUGGAUGGUAGCACAAGAUGACACAUAUCAAAAGAAUUCUUUAAGUUUUAUACUUUCUGGGUUUCUUCCGCAAUUCCUUCUUCUCCAUGAGUCCUGAAUCCAUGGACAAGUCCUUUGCUCUGACAACAAGUCAGCGCUCUAUGUUGGUUGGAGCGUCGAGCCAUCGCAGGUGGUGCUAUUCGCGAAAAUGAAGCACGGAACGAGGAUGCCUGGUCACGACACUAAAAAUUACUCUUCAAAAUAACUUGUCGGAAAUGGAGUUAUGUAAAGAACAUAUAGAUACCACCAUGGUCCUUAAACGACGUUGCUGGUACCAGUUCUACUAGUUAACAAUCUCGCCUGAAUCAGUGGAAGAUGCCCGCUACCGACACGAAUAUGGGACACGAUUUAACUGAUUUCUGUGCUUCUGGAACGAUAGCUAAAUACAUGCAUUGCACUGCUUUAUCGAGGCGGUUUGAGUAGUUUACAAGGAAAUAACACCUGGUUUACUUAUCUUGGAGGAUUUGAAGAUGGAUAGCUAGAUUCCUCGGCCGAUACGGCCAGUGAAGAUUGGCCUGCUAAUCAACGUUUUUUUUACUGAUUUAGUUCCUGAGUUUGAUCCUGG